rnacentral:lncRNA from 1 species
ACUUGCCAGAGAGUUCGGGCCUGUCGGCUGAAGCUCGGUUGGGACGUCUGAUGGAACAGAAUGGCUCUCUGUCUCUGUAAUCUAAGAGAGGCUCAGAUAUUUUCGAGGUUGUUGAUGAGUCCAUUAUUGUCGAGUGCCUGGAGCACUGAUGCUGCAGGUAGAAGUCAUCUGCUGUAGAAGCUCGGAUGGAGACUUUCUGUUGGAGAAGUCUGAUUUCAUGAGAAAUCUGAUAGAGGACUUCGGAUGGCGUUGUGGGGGUUCGUCCAUUGGAGGAGUCUUGAGGACACUGUGGAAGGUCAAAUGUUGGAGGAGUCCGGGAUACGAUUCUGCUGUAGAAGUUCAGAUGGAGUCUAGCUCUCGUAGGAGUCCGAAAGGAGGUUGCUUAUUGUACAAGCUUGAUCGAAGAUCAGUUGUCGUGGAAGCUCAGAUGGAGACUUCUUAUUAUAGAAGUCUCACUGCUGGAGAAGCUCGAUCAUUGACGAAGUCUGAAAGAAGUUCAGAGUAGAGAUCUGGUGGAGCCUAUCCAUCGUAGAAGUUCAUCUGGAAUUUGUAUGAUGUAGAAGCUUGUUUGAAGAUUUGUCUGCUGGAGAGGCCUAAUUGCAUAAGGAAUCCAGCUGAAGGUUGGCUGAUAGAAGAGUCUGGGAGGUGUUGCUGAAGUCUGGCUGACGCUAUUGAACGUUGAUGGCCAGAGAGAUACGGCAGACACUGGAGGCGAUCGACCGUUGUAGAAAUCCGACUGCUGGAGCCCGUCCAUUGUAGAAGUUCAUCCGAAAUCCAUCCGCUAUGGAAGUUCAGACGGAGUUCGAUUCUUGUAGAAGUCUGGAUGGGGAUCGCUUAUUGAAGAAGAUCGGCUGAAGUCUGCAGUAGAGAUCCGGAGUAGACCACUUGUAGUAGAAGUUCGGCUAAAAUUCGGAAGGCAGUCGACCACCGUAGAAACUUGAAUGGAGUCUGGUUACUGUAGAAGUUCUACUGCUGAAGAAGCUCGAUCAUCGAAGAAGUUCGGAGGAAGUUCAGAGUCAAGUCGAUUGUGGCUGGGAGAAGUCUGGAAGAGAUUCAGAGAAUAGUCGAUCACUGUAGAGAAUCGACUGAAAGUGAAGUUCAGAGAGCAUUUGGAGCAGUCCGAUAGAUGAAUGGAGAAGCUUAUGAUUGGAGAAGUCCGGAUGGCAUGAUAGGAGUUCUUCUGUUAGAGAAAUCUGGAGGACACCGUAGGAGGCCGACCGCUACAGGAGUCCGGAUGGUAAUAUGGAAGCUCGGACGGCCUGGGAGGUUCAGAAAGAUGCUACGUAAAGUCAGAAGCUGGAAGAGCCCUGAGAGGGUCGGCCUCUUACGAACUUCGGCUGGGGUUAUUUUAUACCCAACACUUCCUCAUGUGAUUCUCUAGGCACCAUGGAACUAAAAUGAAGAGAGGAAGAUGCGUAGAGGACUCAAGAAAGAAAAAUUACUAUAUUGUUUUCCUUUACUUCCUCUUCUUCUAACUGUUGCGGGAGAUUCCUGACUCCAAUCGGGGUGGCUGGAGAUGGUUGGAGAUGAGCGGCGCAGCGCGGCAUGCAAAAUAAGUCUCGACUAGAGUUGGUUCUUGUGGGGACCUUCCAAUGCCUAAGUUAGAAAAAUAUAAUAGAGAAGGAGAGUGAGAGAAGUAGAGGGCAUGCAUAUGUGCGUAUUUGGAGGGUCAUUUUUUAUCUUUAUUUAUAGGGAGACAAGAGCCAUAAGAGAAAAAACUAUGGAAGACCAUUCCGACCUCUUUGUCCGUACCACUCAGGAUGUCCGAAUUUAUGAAAUACAAGUAUUGUCAUGGUAUGUUGGCCACCUGAGACUUGAGUAGUUCACUCGAGCAUGGUCUAAGUAAUUAUUUCAUCUGAUUUGAGCUUUGGUAGUGGAUGUCAUCUUAUCCUGCGUGCAAUCAGCCACUCAUCAAAUGACCUGAUUGGACGUGGCUUCAUCUGAUGUGUAGCUAGCCAAUGGAGAGAUAUGGCCCCAUAUGGGGUGAAAUGAUUUGAUGUGAUGGGAGUUGACUCUCUCCACUGCAAUAGCUUGCAAGUAGUGAGGAAAGUGUAGCUAGUGGCAAGAAGCAGGAUCGACGCAGGAUCCUAUGGUCAAAGACAACAUCAGGCUUAGGUCUUUUCUUGGAUCUAUGAUUGAUGCUCGGGUGUUACCCUUAUGCGAGUGGUUAGAGGUCUACAGGUGGAGUCAUGAGGGAUAGGUAAAGCCGAAUCUAGCCAGCCAAAGUCAGGAUUAGUGGUUGAAGUUGGGACUGGCCGAACCUUACGAUGAUUGUUACGAGAGCAUCAUUAUGUAUUGAAUGACUUCCUUCAUCAUGAUUCUUUUUCAAAUUUUAGGAUGAUAUAUCUACCACUAAGAUUGUACUCAUUUACCUCUACUCGAUGCUAUAGUAGCAACCUUUGAAGGCAGGAUCGAAGAGGUCUGAGGCAAGACUCCUAUUGUCAUGUGUCUUCGGUAUGGGCAACAUAUUUUCCCUCCAACACAUGCCCCCUACUCCCAAGUUUGAAUCAUGUAGGGUUCGGAUGCAGGGACUAUGCUAAUGAGCAGUUGUAGAAGACACGCUUCUAUUAUAGUCGAGAUGACAUGCUUAUGCUUUUUUGAAGAAAGGAAAGGUUGCAUCAGAGAUCAAUCAUGACCAAGAAAAGGAGGGAGGAUUUAUGAAAUUCAGUGGAUGGUGUGCUUCAUUCCGAGUGUCGCUCAUAAAUAAGCUGACUAUCAGUUUCUGUGGGCCAAUAGGGGUGCACCAUAUGUCAGUUAUCUGACGGUUAUGAGAGAUUUGGUAUCCAGGUUGUACCAACCUUUCUGGGCCUAUAAAAAGGGUUGCAUUUCCUUUCUUGCUUUUCUUAUGCUUCCAGAGUCUUUUUUUUCUGAUCAAGUUUCUAGCUUCAUCCCAGCUCUUAGGGAAGUCCUCCUUCUAGCUGUCUUCCCUGGUUUUCUUGAGUUGUUGGGGACUUCCCCUGCUAACUUCUCUCGAUUAUCCAUCCUCACCUCCUACAUCAUCGUAGGUGGGUUUCUUUCUUCCCCUGCUGAUUCUUAGUUUUUUCCUUCUCCCUUUUUUAUUCUCUAUUAGUGUUUUUGGCUUGUUUUCCUUCUCUUCUUCCUUUAUUAAUCUUUCAAUGAUCGGCUCUAAGGGUUUUGGUGAGAGUUGGUCUUCUGGGCCCUCUUCUCCUUUGGGGGGAGACUUUAUCAGUUUUGGCAUCGAGCACGAGGGUGAACCACCUUUUGUGCCCAACACCACUGGGUCUAUAUGGAUUCAGGAGAUUUGGAUCUGAUACAGGCCCAAUAUGGAUCUCAACUUCAUUUGAGUUGGAGUCCCCAAGGCCCAUUGCCAGGGUCGGUGAUCAUCCACCUGGUAGGAUCGGCUUAUAUGAAGAAUCAUUUAAAGUCAAUCUUAGGUUGCCCAUUCAUCCCUUUAUUAUAGAAAUUUUUUAUUUUUUUAUAUUUUCUUUUGCUCCAUUAUUCCCAAUUCUUUCUAUUUUAUUAUCAACUUCAUCACUAUUUUUCUUCUGGCCAAAGUCCAACCCUUAAUUCCUUUUUUCAGAUCCUUCUAUACAAUCAAGAGAUGGACCAAAGAUUGAUGGUACAUCUCACUGCUCAGAGGGUGUUAGAAAAUAUAUUUUAAAGUCAAUCAUCAGUUUGUUGACGGUUGUGCUAUUUGAUGUAAUUGUAUAUAAAUUAAUUAAUAAAAUAUUUAUUUGAUAAUUUUCAUCAUAAGCUUGUACAUCUUCUAUUUCGAACUUCUGUGUUAUGAUGAAAGUCUUUAGAACUAUUUUAAAUCGAUAAAGGAGGAUUUAUCAUUUAGUCCUUAAAUGAGUUCACAAUCAAAUGAUAUGCUAUUACUAGGAUGAUAGAUAUAUCAAGUGUAGAUCAUUGUGUGCCAUAUAGGUUGGUUGUUCUCUUAAUCAAGGGACAUAGAGAUGCUUGUAUGGCAUGCAGGUGAAAUGUAGGAGUAUAUUUCACUGAACAUGACCAACUUCGGAGUACUCUGCUGUCAAGAGUCACUCCAAAGGGAUAUGGGUAUAAGUGUCCCUCUAACUUGAGAUCACCACAGUGACUUACAAGCAACUCACUGUGCUUUGGUGCCGGACUAUCUGAAUUUUUAAUUCAGGAUCGAAAGAUUUUUGGGCAUAGUCAAGUACUUAUGAAGUUGGUGCAUGAGUCAAAAUGAAAUUGACCACUCUAAGAGAUUGGAGAGAAUGCUUUAUGUUUCAAUUUAGUAAGACCUUGGUCAUGACAAUCCUUGUGAGGAGUCACAGGAUUUAUCAGGUUGAGACACAUAAUCGAUGUACUGUUAAGAGUUGAUAGUUUAAACUCUAAGUCAUCCUAGCAAUAAGGAUCAAAGAGAUAAAUUAUAUGGUAAUUAUAUCCAAAUAAGUUCUUGAGUGUUGCUUUGCAUACAUUCGGUCUAUCCGAACGUUGGGUAUCAUUGCUAGAUGGUUACUCUGAUUGUAUAGAAAUUAAUUUUUAUGCUAUCGAUUUAGGUUCAAACCUAUGGGUCAUACAUAUUAGAAGUUUCUCUCUGAUCACAUGGCUAAUCUAAAGAGUUUCAAUGGACGGAGUCUCUGGUGAAGAGUCCCACUGGAUGGGGACUCUGCUGAAGAGUCCUACUGGACGGAGACUCUAGAGAAGAGUCCCACUAGACUUGGACUCUAUCAUUAAUGGAGGAUUAAUUAAUGAUUAGAUUACUAAUUAGCUUUAUUUAAUUGAGCAUUAAAGUUUGGAUCAAGUUUGAUUGAAAUGGGUUCAAUCAGGUCAAGUCUGAUUAGGUUAUGAGAUGACCUAAUUAGUAAGGAAGAAAUGAUCUUGAUUUGAUCGGGUCUAUGACUCAAUUAAUUUGAUUAAAUUUAAUUAAAAUUAUAAGAGCCUAAUUAGAUUAGAUUCAUCAUAUUUUAUUUGGGUCUAAUUAGAUUUAGUUUGAAAGGAAUUCAAUUAGUUAAACCCUAGAGUCCCAAAUAAAUGGGAUUCUCUCCCUUGCGCCACCCAAAUUGUCUCACACUUUUUCUUACCACACAAAAUCAGUUUGUGUAUGAGAAAAUUAGAAUAUAACCAUUCUUUUGUCACCUAUUAAGGAUAGAAAUUGGUUGGUUUUGAUUUAAAUUCAAAAUGAUUGGAAUUUCAACCUAAAACCUUAUCCAUAUCUUUCCACAUGUUGGCUAUUUUUGAAGGGGCCCAUUGUGUGCGAGAAAAAAAAGUCUUUCUGAAUAUUUUUUAUGCUUAAUUUUCUUUGAUAAGUCUCUAUUUAAGUCAGAGAAGGGUGAGAAAAAGUUAGAAUCAAAUUAAAAUUCAAAAUGGUUUGCAUUGCAACAAUCUCCAGCUCUUAUCCUAUCUUACCUGAUUUGUGCGACAACCAUAAAAAAGCCACAAUUUUGUGCACCAACAAGAGAGAGCUUUUCACUGUGAGAUACUAGAGAGAAAGAGGAGCCAAAAUCCUUCUUUGGGGCAUGAGGUUUGGGUGGUUUUUUUUUUCCUUGGCGUGAACAAAAGAGGAGACCGUUCUCCUCUCGGGUGGGAGACCUAAAACUAUUCUAGAUUUUUGGGUGAGAAAAAAACCAAAGAGAAGAGAGUCUUCAUCUGAUCUUUUUUUCACCAUUCAGUAUUGUUGGUGUAGAAUUCCACCGACGUCGGAGAAGCUGGAGUCAAGAUGGCCGCGGUCGCCAUCGGGACCUGUAAGGGAAGUCUAAAACGGAGUUGGGGAUGCUCCGGUAAGACCCUCCGAUGCUCACGUCAGUACUCUGCUUCAACAGAAAUGGAGCACUCAAAUGAGAUUUUGAUAGAGUUUCGAGAUAGAGUUUUGAGCUUAAAGAAGAACGUAUCUGGGGGUCCCUUUUUAUAGAUGGAGAGCGUAACUGAUCGACAGCGACAUUUGUAAUCGCCUGGUAGUGGGCCGUUUGUGGCCACACGGAGUUUGUUGCGAAGAGUAGUGGCGUCAGUGGGCUGUUCAGAACCAUGUGGAGUUUAUUAUGGAGAGUGGAGUGGUGUCCAUUGUCAUGACUUGCCAGAGAGUUCGGACCUGUCGGCUGAAGCUCGGUUGGGAUGUCUGAUGAAACGGAAUGGCUCUUUGUCUCUGCAAUCUAAGAGAGGCUCGGAUGUUUUCGAGAUUGCUGACGAGUCCAUUGUUGUCGGGUGCCUAGAGUGCUGAUGCUGCAGGCGGAAGUCAUCUACUGUAGAAGCUCGAAUGGAGUCCAGCUCUCAUAGGAGUUUGAAAGGA